rnacentral:rRNA from 1 species
GAGUUUGAUCCUGGCUCAGGAUGAACGCUAGCGGCAGGCUUAACACAUGCAAGUCGAGGGGUAACAGGGAAGCUUGCUUCUGCUGACGACCGGCGCACGGGUGCGUAACGCGUAUGCAAUCUGCCUCAUACUGAGGGAUAGCCCAGAGAAAUUUGGAUUAAUACCUCAUAGUAUUAUGAUAAGGCAUCUUAUUAUAAUUAAAGGUUACGGUAUGAGAUGAGCAUGCGUCCUAUUAGCUAGUUGGUAUGGUAACGGCAUACCAAGGCAACGAUAGGUAGGGGCCCUGAGAGGGGGAUCCCCCACACUGGUACUGAGACACGGACCAGACUCCUACGGGAGGCAGCAGUGAGGAAUAUUGGACAAUGGAGGGAACUCUGAUCCAGCCAUGCCGCGUGCAGGAAGACUGCCCUAUGGGUUGUAAACUGCUUUUAUACAGGAAGAAACACUCCCUCGUGAGGGAGCUUGACGGUACUGUAAGAAUAAGCAUCGGCUAACUCCGUGCCAGCAGCCGCGGUAAUACGGAGGAUGCAAGCGUUAUCCGGAAUCAUUGGGUUUAAAGGGUCCGUAGGCGGAUUAAUAAGUCAGAGGUGAAAGCCAGCAGCUCAACUGUUGAACUGCCUUUGAUACUGUUAGUCUUGAGUUAUUGUGAAGUGGUUAGAAUAUGUAGUGUAGCGGUGAAAUGCAUAGAUAUUACAUAGAAUACCAAUUGCGAAGGCAGAUCACUAACAAUAAACUGACGCUGAUGGACGAAAGCGUGGGGAGCGAACAGGAUUUAGAUACCCUGGUAGUCCACGCCGUAAACGAUGGUCACUAGCUGUUC